rnacentral:rRNA from 1 species
UUCCUACGGGGGGCUGCAGUCGCGAAAACUUCACAAUGGGGGAAACCCCGAUGAGGGAAUUCCAAGUGCCAGCACAUUGUGUUGGCUGUUCUCCUGUCUAAAAAACAGGAGAAGUAAGGGCCGGGUAAGACGGGUGCCAGCCGCCGCGGUAAUACCCGCGGCCCGAGUGGUGGUCGAUAUUAUUGAGCCUAAAACGUUCGUAGCCGGUCUUGUAAAUCCUUGGGUAAAUCGGCCAGCUUAACUGUCCGAAGUCCGGGGAGACUGCAAGACUUGGGAUCGGGAGAGGUCAGAGGUACUUCUGGGGUAGGGGUAAAAUCCUGUAAUCCUAGAAGGACCACCGGUGGCGAAGGCGUCUGACUAGAACGAAUUCGACGGUGAGGAACGAAGCCCUGGGGCGCAAACGGGAUUAGAUACCCGGGUAGUC